GACCGGCGCGCAACUCUUCCGCGCAUUUCGACCCACGGUCGACGUACACAGCCACAGCGUUCACGGCGUUCAGUAACACCGUCAGUCAGUCUGAAACCGACAGUCCGCGAGCGAUUGUAGACGUCCGUACAAUGACUGACACAUUCUCAGUGAUCUCGUCCGUGCCGAAGCAAUAGACCCACGGACAGUCGCCCCGGCAACUACUGGACUCUAGAACUUUCCGUCUGUGAGAAAAGUGUCUAGUGAGGUUAUCCGUGAGUGAAUGUGUUAUAGUCUCAGUGAAAAUGCCUUUGUUCGGUGGAAAAAAGGACUCUGCGAAAAAGUCGAGGAAGGAAGGGAAAGAAGACAAGACACCCUCCGUGGAAGACAAGUACAUCCUGAAGGAAAUGCUGGGAACGGGUGCCUUUUCUGAAGUGCGACUGGCAGAAAGUCGAGAACAUCCAGGUCAGAUGUUCGCCGUCAAAAUAAUAGACAAAAAGGCCCUGAAAGGAAAAGAAGAUUCGUUGGAAAAUGAAAUCAAGGUUUUAAGGAGGUUCAGUGGUUCUGUGAGACAGUCGGGACCUCCCGGUUGUGGUGACCAGGGAAUGAUUGGAGAACCGAUGAGGCUUACCCACCCAAACAUAGUCCAGCUUCUAGAAACAUUCGAGGAUAAACACAAAGUCUACUUAAUUAUGGAAUUAGUCACUGGAGGAGAGUUGUUUGACAGAAUUGUUGAAAAAGGAUCUUACACUGAAAAGGAUGCCUCGGACCUCAUCAGACAAGUCUUAGAAGCAGUAGAUUAUAUGCAUGAGCAAGGCGUAGUUCAUAGGGAUUUAAAGCCUGAAAACCUUCUUUAUUAUAGUCCUGAUGAAGAUAGCAAAAUAAUGAUUAGCGACUUUGGACUUUCUAAAAUGGAAGACUCCGGAAUAAUGGCAACUGCUUGUGGAACUCCUGGCUAUGUUGCUCCAGAAGUAUUAGCUCAGAAGCCGUAUGGCAAAGCCGUGGAUGUUUGGAGUAUAGGAGUGAUUUCCUACAUUCUACUCUGUGGUUACCCUCCUUUCUACGAUGAAAAUGAUGCCAACCUUUUUGCACAAAUAUUGAAAGGAGAGUUUGAGUUUGAUUCGCCUUAUUGGGAUGACAUUAGUGACUCAGCAAAGGACUUUAUCCGCCAGCUCAUGUGUGUGGACGUGGACAAAAGAUUCACCUGCCGUCAAGCCCUUGCUCAUCCAUGGAUCUCUGGAAAUGCAGCAAGCAACAAGAACAUCCAUGGAACUGUAUCCGAACAGCUGAAGAAGAACUUUGCCAAGUCGCGAUGGAAGCAACUAAUGAAUGCUAUAACAAUGGUUCACAAGAUGCAGAGGCUAGCUCUGAUUAGUUCUAGUAAUAUGGAUGUUGAGGGUUCUCCUCACAAAUGCACUACUAUUGAAGAGGAAGCAGAGACCGAGUCCACAUCAGAGGUCCAGCAAGGUUUUCAGGCCACAGGAGGACGUCACACAUAAUGAAAGCACAUGACUUUUUAUCUAACUGUUUGUACAGCAACUUCUCACUUCUACUUGUUAAUGUAUUUGUCAGCUGUUCAUCUGGAAACAAACAAGCCUAUCAUGCGACCACCGUGAUACGCAAGAUGCAGCAAAUGGCGCUCAGCAGUGGCGCUGCCGGCAGUAACCCCUAGGUCUCCAGACUCUCCUACAAUUUUGUUAUUUAUUUUUAGUUCUGUAUUAGACUGUAAGUUAUUUUUAAAGCAUUUUAGAGGACGAGGUCUUGUUGAUGACGACUUUUCUUGACAACUUGUGACUUAAACGUCACAUUUAGUUUCACAAGAAAUAUUGACUAUGAGAUAAAAUGUUGAAUAAAUAAUUACUUUUGUUAGUUCAUUGACCCCUCUAAUGUUGACGAGGAAAACAAGUUUGUAUGUUUUGAAUUAUUCUCUCCUAAUUUUGACAUCUACUUCUGAGGUGGUUUCAAAAAUAUAAGAUGUUUACAAAAUAAUAAAUGAGCUUGUAAAUAAAUAGUGCAUAGCUCUUUAACAAUCUUUUUUUAAAUUGUAUUCUUAAAAAAAUAAAUUCAAUUUUAGUUCAAAUAUGGUAACCCAUUAAUUAUUAACAAAUUAAUAUCCUUUUUGUUAAAAGUUAGUUGUUUUUUUUAACUCAUGAGUUUUCAAAUUUUUCAUAUUGUAUAUGUAUUACCACAUAUACAAUACCUGCAUGCUGAUACUGUUUCAGUUACUAUCAUUGACACUAGGUUGGUUACAUGCCAACUGUAAUUACCGUAGUUACUUAGUAAUUACCUUUUUCAAGAGCAAUUUUUUGCUCUGCCUCAUAUCCCACACUGUCUUAUAGUGUGUGAACUUUUUUGUUGUUUAAGACCAAUAUUUUUAUUAUUUACAAUUUUACUCAGAAUAUUAACAAAAAAGUAUGUUCUUUUUAUAAAACGAAUGAAACUAUCAAAUUUGUCAAAUGACGACAGAACUUACGAUGGCGGUGCUAUAAAUAAAUUGAUUACCUGUUUUUUUUUUUACUAUUGCAUAUUAAUAAAAUAUUUUCCUUUGUAUCUAAAAUAAUCAAGUACAGUAUGCAGAUUACAGUGUGUUAUAGUCAAAGACAUUUGAACGCUUCAGUUUCUACUCUAAAGCUACAUACUUUUGCUAAAUCCUCCAAGAUUUUGUAUUUUUAAUUGUUUCCAAGCUCACUAACAAGAGAGAUUAUCACCCUACAAUCUGUUGAAGUCUCCUUGGACUAAUCGAGUCUUCAAACAAGCAAAUAAAUUUAAUCCACUAGUACUAGCCUGUAUUUUUUUCAUAUUUCUGACAAGCAUAUUGAAAUUAGUAAUAAAAAUUACAUAAUGUAAUUUCAUAUUCAAAUCCCAUUUAAAAUUUCUUUUCAUCUUUGGGAUGGAAACUAAAUCUUACUACGAUACGUGAAUAGGGGAAUGGAGAUGGCAAUAGAGCCAAGAGCCUUGAUUUAUCCAUACAAUAAGUGAGCUUAUGAUUUGUUUUAUCAGCUGAUCCAUGAGUCACCAAAGCUUAAUGAUUUUUAUUGGUUUUUGUCUGUUCACCUCUCAUUUAUCGUCUUUUGUGGACUAGAGUUAUGAUGUUGAUUUAUAAACUUGACAUUUUGCAUGAAUUUACUCACAUAAUAGUUAAAGUAACAGAAAAUAUAUUGGAAUUAUCAAAGAAAAUUGUUUAUAUAUUUCAUUGGAAAACUGAAUGUCCGUGUUAAUAUUUCUAAGUCGUCAUCUAGAAAUACAAUUCCUCAAAAUUUUUAUUGUACUAUAUGUAAUCAUGUAACCACAAAAUAUAUAAUAGAUCAUUUUAAAACUAUUCCUACAAAUUAUCGGAGUAGUGAUGGUUCUCAAAAUUGUUUACAGUGUACAAGUAAAAUUAUUAUAGUGUAUUAGUCAUUAUAUUCUGUCCAUAUUCACCGUCAACAUAAUCUGUAGUAAAUAAUUCCAAAUAAAGCUAAUACUUAUUUUUUUGUACAUACCGAAAUAACUUAUAAUGAUCCAAACAUGAUGUACAUGUAUUGAUUUUAAAUCAAAGUAUAUUAAAGGUUUGAAAUGUAAUUAAUCCAAAUAUUAAUACACACGUACGUACAGGUACGUGUGUAUGCAUACAUAUUUUUAUAUCGCAAUAGCUUUAAAAAUUUAGCACAUUAUUGAAGCUUUUAAAGUCUAUUUAGAAAGUUGUGUAAGGGUAGUAAUUGAAUGAUCGUUACAGACUACCCAGAGACUUCAGUGUGUUAACUGAAAGAUAAUAAACAAUAUUUGAACAGAGCUAUGACAUUUUAUUUUUUAUAAAUUUUAAUGCCGAUUCCUUUGUCUUGUUUUUUGCUAUCAUAGCAACAAGACAAAUUUAUAUGGUGUUCUACUUUGAUUUUGAAAUAAAACUUUUGGUCCAUAGUGUUUUCAGAGAUCUUGUACGAUUUAUUUGGGUUAUAAAACGUUGCCUAUCAUCUACAUUUUUGUUUGGCCAAAUGCAAAGACUUUAACAGUUUUACAAACCUUGACACUCAUGAUAGUUAGUAUGCCACAACUCAUUGAUAAAGAUUGGCCGUCCCGGAGUGUUAUACUGUUUGUUCAAAACAACUUGGUAUCUCACUUUAAAGUGGCUGAGGAUAUUGAUGAUGUAUAUAAUUUAUCCUUUUUUGUAACAUGUGAUAAGCAAAUUUGUGAGGUUUCAAUACAUAUUUUUUUACAUUUUUGAAUUAUUUCUUAAGUCCAAACAUUUGUGAAUUAAGCAAAAGACUGUGUAUUAAUUGCAUUUGUAAAUAUCUGUUUGGGUCUAUAUCUAUGUUGUAAUUGUAAUUUGUCUAUGGAUCUUUUUUAAUUGUGAUUUUCAUGAUGUUGAAAUGUUUAGUGUUCAAGUCCAAAAAGAAAUUAAACAUACCUCCUGUAUUACCAAAAACUUAAUACUCUUUCAAAACACAUCACUUUUAUUAACUUAAAGUAUAUAUAUUUAGCAUCAAAACUGUACAUCAAAACGGCCUAUGGCAACUAAUAAAUUAAAAAUUAAUUUCAUGUGAUGAUUAAAAAUGAAAAUAAUUUAAUGGGUGUUACACAUCAAUGUCCAACGGUAAUUAAACAAAAAUAAGCUCCAAAGUAGAUUGAAUCAAAUGUAUUCAGAUGGAAUCCUUACUAAAAUAAAUCAAGACUUAACUAAAUCUGUUAGAUAUUAUUUUAAAUACAAAUUUCUCAAGUAAUGAUUGUAUUGAUUGUCGUUUAAAUUAAUAUUGCAAUUGACCACAGCCAAGGUAAGUCUAUCAAAUGUUCUAAUUUUUUUUACAAAUUUACAAGGCCUAGCCAGUGUUUACAACUGAAAGUCCCAUUACAGUGAAAUUCUUAAAGUUUUGAUUCUACCCAUGAUCCUAUCUUCAAUUUCAUACUGCCUCCAGUUAUAAUACAAAAAACGAAUUCACUUCAGUAGGAAUCAAAGAAAAAAAAUAUAAAUAUACAUCGUAAUUACUGUGAACUAUUAAGUGUUUUGUUUAAACUUUGUUGUGGACAAUGUUGCUUAUAAAUGUUAUAACCAACUGUAAUCCUCUCGUAUCUUGCUACUAGGACACUUAGCAAUCUUUAAGUUGAUUAAUGUGUUUGAGCGAAAACAAAUUCUUUAGAAAAGCCGUUCAUAUCUCAUAGUUUGUAAUCGUAUCGAAGUAUCUCUCUAGGUACUACACGAUCGGUUUCUUGCGUUAGGACAUAUAAAUGCUCAUAUUUAUCUAACACUUAUAGCUUGUCUUGUAUUUAUCUGCAAAUUGUAAUUCAUAACGGUUCGAUUAGUCAAUUUGUACAUAGCUUGAUCAAUGUAAUGGUGAUGUGAUGGACUAGAAACACGCAUCAGUCUAUGUACAUAGUAGUGGUGCCCGCUUGUUAUCUCAUGUACAUAUGUACAAAUAUUCGUGUACAUAUUUCUAUCAAUGUUACAUCGUCUGAUACUAAACUCUGUUGUUGAGUCUGUUCUAUAUCCCGUUACGAGAUUUACAAUUUUAUCUACUGUUGUAUCUAUGAAAAAUGUAGUGUUUUAAAAUCUCUCGAUAUAUUUAUACCCUGUACUCCGUACGUAUUUAAAAUAUUAUAUACUAGACUCGCUCGAGUAUGUCACUUGAGUAUUCGGUUCUUUCUUUUUGGACACUGGAAUUUGUUGAACGGUGGUAACUAUGGGUUGACCAUUCCUCUUCUUCAUCGGUAUUGUUUACGUAUCUGUGUAAAUUAUGUGUUUUGGACGUUUUGCUACAUUGUUGUUAAGUGUGGUACUCUGUGAUACCAUCUGGUUAUCUUAUCUUUUGUAUGCUGAUUGUGUAACCUCUGCCAUACUUUUCUUCCUGAUAAUGUUUAACCUAUUUUUAUACACCUCUUCAAUAGUAGCUAUGUCUUAUCAAAUUUGCUAUUGUAUGGUUGACAGUUUUAAGGAGGUUGAAAAUCAGAGUAUUCUUGGUCAAAAAAUUGUUUGGUUUUGGAAAAGUGUGUGUUAUUGAGUAACUGAAUAACAAAUUCAUGAUUAUUACACAAA